UUAUAAGGAAUUUAACCACAAACUCAUAGAGGUAUCUCUCGUUCAAAUCGGAUUCGAAUAACUCAGGUUAUGAAAUCUGGAAGUACAGUAUUGGGUACCAAUUUUGAAAGCCAGAGGAUCUACGGAAAAUUCCAACAUGCAAAUGGUAAAAAUCUUGACCCUCGUCUUGAAGAAUAAUUUGAAUGUAGAAUUAUAGGGAAUUUAACCACAAACCCAUAGAGGUAUCCCUUGUUCAAAUCGGAUUCGAAUAACUCAGGUUAUGAAAUCUGGAAGUACAGUAUUGGGUACCAAUUUUGAAAGCCAGAGGAUCUACGGAAAAUUCCAACAUGCAAAUGGGUAAAAAUCUUGACCCUCGUCUUGAAGAAUAAUUUGAAUGUAGAAUUAUAGAGAAUUAAACCACAAACAUAGAGGUAUCCCUU